rnacentral:lncRNA from 1 species
UCGCGUUAUUAUACUAUAUAUAAUACAUGUAGUUAUACAUACGUACGUACUACGAUGUGGAAUUCAUCGCACGCAGCAGAUGUACUAUCCGCAUUUCGGCUUGUCAUUUGGAGAAGUUAAAAACGAGCAAAGUGACUCUCGCCAAUUAGCCAGCGUCUGAAAGCAAAGAUGAAGAAGAGGCUCGACCGGAGGACAGGCAGCGAACUCGAUCGGAUCCGAGGACGGCAAAUCUGGCGGAUCUCCAACGCGCUUUGUGUACCUCCAUCCCUCUCUUCUCCUCUCUCUCGCCGUCUCUCGCUCUCUUGGCGGUGGCUUCAUUGUCCGCUCGGGAGGAAAAGCCGAUAUUGAGAACGUUCGCAAAGCCCCCAACGGGUAUGCCUACGUACCUAUUUUAUUUUCGCCUCUACACAUAUACGUAUCCGUACACAGACAAGAGGUGCACGUAGCUGAUGCGAUGCCACGGCGGCAGCUCCAACGGCAGUCCCGCAGCAGCGGCAACAGCAGCCUCGUGCCCUCGGGGCAAAUCCCGAACCCCGAUCCUCCCGACGUAAACUUGCAAACCCUAACCUUCCGGAGGUUGCAGGUAUGUAGGUAUUCACGAAGAGAUGGAUGCAGGUAUAGAGGCAACGCAUGCCGCGUGUACACGCCUCACCCACGUUCAUCCGUCUCAAGGAGAAACUCGCGGAAAGUAUCGCAGACCGCAAAUUGCACCCGAUUGUACCCUCUGUACGCACACGGCAUCCAGAGUUUCAGAUGAAUGAUGGACAAAUUCUUCUGCGGUGGAGUAAAUCAAGAAAAAGAAAGAACUGAGAUUUUAAUCAACGGUCACUGUCGACACGAUAAUACACUCAGCACUAAGUGAGCACUGAAUUGCGCUAAUCGACAUCAGCGAAUCAGCUAUCGUGCGCUUCGAGGAAUUUACAGGAACGUCAUCUUGGAUGUCCUUACCAUCAUAACAUGUAAAUUAGAAUAGAAUUUGAGGAUGAUGGAAUAUAAAGUGUAUUUUCUCACGAUCAAACCAGUGAUUAAUAAACUAAAAUAAAUUUCAAA